rnacentral:rRNA from 1 species
GAUGAACGCUGGCGGCGUGCCUAAUACAUGCAAGUCGAGCGAACGGACGAGAAGCUUGCUUCUCUGAUGUUAGCGGCGGACGGGUGAGUAACACGUGGAUAACCUACCUAUAAGACUGGGAUAACUUCGGGAAACCGGGGCUAAUACCGGAUGAUAUUUUGAACCGCAUGGUUCAAAAGUGAAAGACGGUCUUGCUGUCACUUAUAGAUGGAUCCGCGCUGCAUUAGCUAGUUGGUAAGGUAACGGCUUACCAAGGCAACGAUGCAUAGCCGACCUGAGAGGGUGAUCGGCCACACUGGAACUGAGACACGGUCCAGACUCCUACGGGAGGCAGCAGUAGGGAAUCUUCCGCAAUGGGCGAAAGCCUGACGGAGCAACGCCGAGUGAGUGAUGAAGGUCUUCGGAUCGUAAAACUCUGUUAUUAGGGAAGAACAUAUGUGUAAGUAACUGUGCACAUCUUGACGGUACCUAAUCAGAAAGCCACGGCUAACUACGUG